CUCUACACGGACAAAAUGGGUGACCCUAAUCAUAUCAAGAAAGGGAAAGAAAGAAAGAACACCGACGUCCUCGAUUCAUCUCUGACUUUGUAAAGCCUGCGAGAGACAUUCUAAGCUACAAAAUUAAUCACUACUUCAGCAUCUCGACUAGAAAUGGUACUGGAUUGCUGUUACUUAAUAUGCUGGCAAGAUAGCGCAAGGUUCAAUUGCAGGUGUUACAGCAGAAUACAAUCAGGAAGAUAUUCAUGCUUCUGUUAAGGUCGAUGUUGACUCAAAAUUACCAAUUUCACAACCUUUACAUUGAGCAUCGCAGACCAUGAAGGAUACAUUUUCACUGAAAUUGCCAGAUCAUAGCUCUAAAAGGUGCUGCUUCUAGUUCCGUAUAAAGUAGAAUACUUCUACAAAAAUGCUGCUUUAUCUACGAGACUUCCUUCAACCAGCCGCCAUAUAAUUCAGCUUUCUGCAACUUUUGGUGCUCCACACCUUGCAUUUGGUAUGGAGACGCCAUACAAUCUUGCUUCGAAGAGAUUUCACGAAUUUAACACAGGCAUUAGAGUGACAAAACCAAAUUUUGAUGGAUGAAUUACUUUGACAAAUAAGGGUAUCUUACUAAGGGCAUCAUAUGCUCAUUAUUUUGAUCAUGAGAAGAAAGUUGCAGAAGCAGCAGUGGUCUCUCGGAUGCUUUCAGAAAAGGAGAAUGUUCUUGUAGUUGGAGGAACAUGGAUUAUGGAUGAUAAAACGACAGUCAAGGCAAGGUUUGAAAGUCGUGGGAAGCUGGUUACUCUCCUGCAUCAUAAAAUCAAACCCAAGACAUGCAUUAAAAUUUCUAGUGAAUUUGACCCCAAAGCCCUUGACAGGAUUCCCGUAAUCAGAUAUGGUCUCUCUCUCUCGUAAUCUGAAAGGUUUAUCCAUUUUCAGUUGUGUGGUCCAGCUGAUGGAAUUCUGAUCGUUCAAUACCUUCUGCUGGUGCUUUGAAAGAAAGGCAAACAAAUACACUGCUUUUACCAUGUCCAUAACAUAUAUAGUUACUGGUAAGGAGGCUUGAACUAGAC